UUAUUCCUUUUCUUCUUCUCUCUUCCUCUCACUCAAUUACCUCAAAUUCCCUAAUCCGACCCUCACCAUCAUCUUCUCGGAGCGAUCUCAUCAUCGACGGGUUGCGAAUCUCUCCGACCAAUCUCCAAGGGUUUCAUUUUUCAAUCGCUACGUCGUACUUGGUUUUUCAACCCAUGUCCAUGUGUAUGGAUCAAUGGAUAUCUCAAAUUGAACAAUGGUUUCACCAACAGCCCGUUGAGCAGAUCUAUGUUGCUGUCGCUGUUCUGGCAUUAACAGUUGUACUCUUUGUCCUUUUCUCGUUGUUGAAGACCUCGAAAUCUAACACCAUAGUGCUUGCUGGGCUAAAUGGCAGUGGAAAAACUAUUCUCUUCUACCAGCUUCGUGAUGGAUCUCCACAUCAAGGUACUGUAACUUCAAUGGAACCAAAUGAUGGUACUUUCGUGCUGCAUUCUGAACUAGGAAAGAAGGGCAAAAUUAAGCCCGUACAUUUAGUUGAUGUUCCUGGCCAUUCAAGGCUCAAGCCCAAGCUUGAUGAAUUCUUGCCUAAUGCUGCUGGUCUCAUUUUUGUUGUUGAUGCUCUAGAUUUCUUGCCAAACUGUCGGCCUGCUGCAGAGUAUUUGUAUGAUAUUUUGACCAAGUCAAGUGUAGUGAAGAGGAGAAUCCCUGUCCUUAUUCUAUGUAACAAGACGGACAAGGUGACAGCACACUCUAAGGAGUUCAUCAGGAAGCAAUUGGAGAAAGAAAUAGACAAGCUUCGCACAUCAAGGAAUGCAAUAUCUACUGCCGAUAUUAGCGACGAGUUCAUGCUCGGGGUUCCUGGAGAACCUUUCACCUUAGAACAGUGCCGAAACAAGGUGACAGUGGCUGAGGCAUCAGGCCUCACUGGUGAGGUAUCACAGGUCGAGCAGUUCAUCAGAGAGCAUGUCAAGCCUUGAAAAAGUGAUUGUGCUUCCGCUUGCCCUCCCAUUGCCCAUACCUCUGCCCAUACUCUCGUACGUCCUGCAUAAUCAUCUCUGCCGGCGCGAGUGUGGUGCCACCGCCGUGAGUGCGUUGGAGAGGGCCGAGUGUUGCGAUGCUGUGGUUUGCUGCGGAUGAGGCAAAUGCACGACGGAGAAGGAGGUUAGUUUUGACGAGGAAGGGAGGGGGUGGCGGGGUGGGAGAAUGAGGGGUUAGAGGGCUACAUGUCAUCUCCAACAAUUGGCCUUUUACCGGGCCAUUUUCAUCUCUCUCUCUCUCUUGCUCUCAACCAAGCAUUUAUUCAUAUUGAAUGUUGCCUUUGGAGCAAUGUCAAGCAUUGAUGGCAGCAUCGAGCUCAGCCGAGCUCCGAGAGGCAGUGGUGCCGAGCUUCGCCGUCUAUCUUCUGUCGAGGGAAAUUGCUAGAUGAUGAUCAGGUGCAAUACUGCGGUUCAAAAUUUUGAAGAUAAUGUUACCAGAUAACUGUUUGGUCCGUACUAAGGCUUUGUUUGGGAUUGCGAGAAAAUUGCGUUACGAUGGAAAAUAUCCUGUUUAUUUUUGUACGUAAUAUUGCGUUCCGUAUAUUGCGAUGAGUCGGUUAUGAUAUAUUUUCUGCGAUUCCACCGGAGAACGCAAAAAAAUAAGUCGUCUCCUGCUCCGCCGCUACCGGUGCCCCCGACAGCAGCGGGCCUUCGUGUGUCGACGGUUCUCCUAAGUUGGCUCGCUCUUGGGCUCGACUCUCUGUCUAUGCCAACACCUGUGCUCCCUCGCCCCAGUCGCAUUGCCUCUGCUGACUUCGGAUCUCAGCCACCAAAUUUGGAGCUAGAGUCGACGUUCCAAAGCAUGGGAUGUGAGCUCGAUGCUCAUCAUCGUCUCUCUCUCUCGCUCGCUCGCUCCUUUUGCUCUCUCUUUCUCUCUUUUCUCCGAGGCGGUGCGGUAACAAAGAAAUAUUGUUAUUGUCAUUACUUAUCUCGAUCGAGCUCUUUUCCUUCCCCAGAAGAGCUCAUCAAAUGCGUCUCUCUAUGAAUUUGAAGUGGUUUGCUUCUAAGAUAGGUGAUUUUUGGUCAAGUUUUUUUUUUUUUUUUUUGCCCUUUUCGUGAUCGGAUUUGGUGAAUUGGAGUGUGAGAUGUGGUAGCUGAGAUAAGAAAGUGUGUGCAUAUAUGGUUUAAAUAAGAAAAUCUGUGUUGUAGUUUA